AUUGAACGCUGGCGGCAUGCCUUACACAUGCAAGUCGAACGGUAACGGGCCUUCGGGUGCCGACGAGUGGCGAACGGGUGAGUAAUGCAUCGGAACGUACCUUUCAGUGGGGGAUAACGUAGCGAAAGUUACGCUAAUACCGCAUAUUCUGUGAGCAGGAAAGCAGGGGAUCGCAAGACCUUGCGCUGAUUGAGCGGCCGAUGUCAGAUUAGCUAGUUGGUGAGGUAAAGGCUCACCAAGCCAACGAUCUGUAGCUGGUCUGAGAGGACGACCAGCCACACUGGAACUGAGACACGGUCCAGACUCCUACGGGAGGCAGCAGUGGGGAAUUUUGGACAAUGGGCGCAAGCCUGAUCCAGCCAUUCCGCGUGCAGGAUGAAGGCCUUCGGGUUGUAACUGCUUUUGUACGGAACGAAACGGUCUGCCCUAAUACGGCGGGCUAAUGACGGUACCGUAAGAAUAAGCACCGGCUAACUACGUGCCAGCAGCCGAC
rnacentral:rRNA from 1 species